rnacentral:rRNA from 1 species
CAGACCUGAAAUCAGGCGAGGUUACCCGCUGAACUUAAGCAUAUUAUUAAGCGGAGGAGAAGAAAAUAACUAUGAUUCCCUUAGUAACGGCGAGUGAACCGGGAUCAGCUCAAAGUGGAAAUCAACUGCUCUUUCCGAGCUGUUGACUUGUAGCCUCGAGA